rnacentral:lncRNA from 1 species
CUGCAAUCAGAGCAUUGUGAUUAGUGGUCAGAGCUGCUGUCAAAGGAGCGUGACCAGGUCAUCUUCCCCAGGACUACGGCAGCUCCAGUGAAGACAAAACGUAGGGCUUCUGUGACCUUUGCUAUUUCUAUUGUUAGGCUUUUAGUUUUAAUCCAAAAAUAUGCAGGAUUUACAGUUAUUGUUGUCAGAAACUUCCAGAAGAAUCAACAAAGUGAAGUGGAAAGAAGCACAUCAGGGAGGUCCGGCCUCGGGGUUUGGCCCCUGGUCUUCCAUCUGCUUGGAAUCUGCUUUGGACACGUAUCCGCCCGGCUUGUUGCCUCAAUGAUGCAGGUGACGUACAAGAAGAAGCAGGCUGUCUCCACUAAGCAUCUGGGGCCCAGCUGCUGCCCUUUGCCACCACGGGGAGGCAGCAGACCAACACCCACAUGUGGAACACACUUGGCACCCUACAGUGACCUCGUGGGUGUAAUGGUCAGUGCUUCACUGCCUCUUCCAAAUCGCACGCAAAUUUCUCCUGUGGCUAACUCUAACCCAGAACCAGACGGUGAAGGGAAUUCUGGGAAAUCAGCUCCACCUUAGCUAAACAAAAAGCCGCUGUACCAGGUUUCAUCCUGUCAAUGUAUUUGUAGAUGCCUUUGAUUUUUCUUUAUAACACUAAAUACAGAAUAAUUCGAAUAUACAAGAGAAUAUAAAUACAGAGUCUUUCCAUGGUUUCCUUUAUGAAAUUACUAACUUUCUGUCAUCUUGAGUACCCAGUCAUCUUGGAUCAUUUCUUGCCAUGUGCUUAUUGGGAUGAAUUAAAACUACUGGCCUAUUUGUAUUUCACUUAUAUAUAUGAAAUGUUGAGUCUAUUCCUUAUACUUGCAGCAAAAACAGAUCCUCUGUGGUAUGUAUUUCAUGUAAAUGAGGAUUAGACAAACUUCAGGAUCCAUUUGGCAUUAGUAUCUGUGUAACAAUAGGCUUAUGUAUUUAUGGAGCUAGGUAGGUAUGUCUACAUGCUUGUUCUAACUCUCUCUCUAUAUAUAUGACCAGAUAGUGCUAUAGAGACUUAAGAACAGUCUUGAUGACUAUACAGACAGAUAUCUAAAAACCGAGAGCUGAGAAAUUGGUGUUGUAACUUCUGAGUAAUUAUUUCAACUACUGGACACCUGUCACUAAUCCAAAAGCCAAAGGAAUUGGCAGUUUUGUAUAAGACGUUCCUUCACUUUGGCUUCUUAAGAUGACAGAGGUAGUUGUAGAUAGGAAAUGUAGAAACAGCAAAAAAAAAAAAAAAAAAAAAAGAACUCUCACCACGAAUGAGUGAUAAGAAUUUGUUGAGCUCUCAGACUCUCCGCUUCUGCUUCCCUCAGCACCUCUUAGAUCCUUUAGACUUGUAGCUUGUUUUCCUUUUCUGAGCCAGCGGAGAUUGUAAAUCAACCUUCCAGUCUUCAUCGCCAACCCAGGGGAAAUAGGUGAGACAAGUGGUUUCCAAAUAUUUGAUAAAACAGAGAGGGUGUUUGGGGUAGAAAGAAUUCUGGUUUUCGGUUCAAUCCAUUUACCUACUUAUGUCCUCUUUAGCAUUAUUUAACUUGUUAGAGUUUAUGUUUCCUCUUCUGCAAAAUGGCUGUGAUCUUGUCUGCUUCCUAAGAAGCUCCAGGGUUGACGGAGGGGACUCGGAUGUCCACCUCCCACCUUCCUUCGCCAAUACUUCUUCACUGCCGAGACCCCAUUCGUCUCACGUGACUGAUACCUACUAAGCGGGCUACAACGAGUAGGCUCAUAUGAUUUUUAAAUGCUGGAGAAUUAGGUUUCAGUAGGCAAGUGGAACUUUUAAAAGAAUUUAUUCCUUAGUCUGACAACCACUGUUUAUUUUGCUUAACUGAAGCAACUGAUUUUUCCUUUAUCAGGAUAAAAUCAUGAAAGAUUUUGAAAAAGGCAAGAAAGAUUACUGGUGUCCUGUCUAGCAUACCCUUCUGGGUUAUCUUUGUCUCUUAUUGUCUUUGAGCUAUUUUACAACUCUGUCAGCUGUAGAUAACGGAUGCUAAUGCAAAUAAAUGAUUCUUGUCCAAA